GACGAACGCUGGCGGCGUGCCUAAUACAUGCAAGUAGAACGCUGAAGGAGGAGCUUGCUUCUCUGGAUGAGUUGCGAACGGGUGAGUAACGCGUAGGUAACCUGCCUGGUAGCGGGGGAUAACUAUUGGAAACGAUAGCUAAUACCGCAUAAGAGUAGAUGUUGCACGACAUUUGCUUAAAAGGUGCAAUUGCAUCACUACCAGAUGGACCUGCGUUGUAUUAGCUAGUUGGUGGGGUAACGGCUCACCAAGGCGACGAUACAUAGCCGACCUGAGAGGGUGAUCGGCCACACUGGGACUGAGACACGGCCCAGACUCCUACGGGAGGCAGCAGUAGGGAAUCUUCGGCAAUGGACGGAAGUCUGACCGAGCAACGCCGCGUGAGUGAAGAAGGUUUUCGGAUCGUAAAGCUCUGUUGUAAGAGAAGAACGAGUGUGAGAGUGGAAAGUUCACACUGUGACGGUAGCUUACCAGAAAGGGACGGCUAACUACGUG
rnacentral:rRNA from 1 species